AUGAAUACGCGGUUGCAAAUUCCUGGAGCCGCCACUGCUAGCCCCCGUCUCCACCCUUCUCUUUGCCGUCGCGACCAAGACACCAACACGGAUGCGCCGCCCGGUGAGCAAACUCACGGCCGCCGGCGAUCCACCAGUCCUCGACCCACAGAUGUCUUCCCCUCCCCGGCUGACGAGAUCUACCAAUCCCCGACCAGGCCACCCCGCGCAUGUGCUCAGCUGUCGCCGCGCCCGAGCCCAUUGCCAGCCUGGGUCUUCCCCGCCGUACUGCAGGCACCAGAUCCGGCGGGAACCGACAGCACCACCGGAGCUGGAGCGGCGCUGCUCGCCAGCUCGGGCUCCAGGCACGGCUUGCUGGGUUCGUGCGCCGCCGGCAUGGCUACCUCGAUGGGAGGGGCACUUGCCGGAGCUGAAGCGGCGCUGCUCACCAUCGCAUGCCUACCUCGCCGGGCACCAAGAGUCGGGGCAGGGUCGGAGUCAACGGGUGAGAGAUGGGAGUAUGACAGGUGGGGCCCCCUUCCACCUCACUUUAUUGUACAGAUGUGCAUGCCAAGCCAGCCUGACAGAUGGGCCAACCCUGUCAGCUUUGCUAUUAAGCGUUGGUGCGUUGAGUUCGAGCUCGCCGGAAAUACAAGGGGCUGUUCGUGCGGCCGGAGGCAUUUGUGCGCCGGGAAAUCUCGUGUCCUCUCCCUCUCUCUUGUUUCUUUCUUAUCUCCGGUGAUCGCCGUGGUUCUGCGUGGCGGCGGUGGCGGCAUUCGCCGGCGGCUGCGCGGUGAAGCUCCGGGCCGUGUGUCGGUCUAUGGAGGUGCGCGGCGCGGUGAGGAGGCCGCGGAGGCCGCGGCCGACGCGGCCGACAUGGAGGCAUCGGCUGCGGCGCGCGGCGAGCGUGUGGCGGAGGCGGCAGGCGGUGACGUCGUACGUGCGGCGACCGCGGAGGCCGCCGAGGCGCUGCGUGGUGGCGCGGCGGCGCAACACGGUGUGAAGGCGUGGAGGCACUGCAUGGCAGCAUGGAGGCCGCGGCGGUGCAGGGCAAUAAGAUGCGGCGGCGAGCCAGGCGCGACCGUGGACCGCGUCGAGGCGCUGGACCUGGUUGCGCAGAUCGCGUACGUGCGCGGCGGGAGCGCGGGCCGGGAGCACGGGGACGUGGGGAGUGCGCGCGAAGGGCACGGCGGUCGCAGAGACGAGGAGGUCGCGAAGGACCUGCGUGGUGGCGCAGAGGUCGCGACGGCUCGGGGCGACAACCGUGGAAGGUGCGUGACACGUAGGCGCGGCGUGGCGGCUGCCAUGGCGGACGCGGAGGCGGCACCCGGUGAGCGUCUGGUGCUGUCGGGCUCGUCGGGCGCGUCGGAUGCGCGCGGGACGUGCGGGACGCACUGGUGCGGUCGGGCUCGUCGGACGCGUUGGUUGCGCGCGGGACGUGCGGGGCGCGAAGGGACGCCAGGCACGGUGCGACCGGCGUCGGUGCGCCAGGUCGGGUCCACGGGCUGGCUCACGGCUGUGACGACGACAACGACGCGAGCUGGAUCGACUCUGGCCACGGCAGGCACACGAUACGUCGCAGCGGGCGCGGAGGCGCGUGAUGAUGUCGAGCGAGGGCGUUUAAGACGACGGUCGACGACAAAGCAUGUCAAGAUUAGGAAGGAAAUUGAUAGCAUUAAUCUUGACAUGAAUAGUCUUGUGCGUGAGUGGCAUAGGAGCCGGGCAGGCUGUUGCCCUGGUAGCAGUUCGAGCUCGCGGAAAUACAAGGGGCUGUUCGUGCGGCCGGAGGCGUUUGUGCGCCGGGAAAUCUCGUGUCCUCUCCCUCUCUCUUGUUCCUUUCUUAUCUCCAGUGAUCGCCGUGGUUCAGUGAGUAGGCUAGGCAACAACACUCCUCGCCACAUCGUCGUCCAGUGGCUCGGCGCCUCCGCCUUCUGCGUCUUCUCCGUCGCCCCGCGCUACGGCGUUACCGACGACCGCGACCGCGACGCCCGCUCAAUCGCGGGGGACCUCCGCACCGUUCCCAGAUUCCUCGCCAAGUCCCUCGUGUCCGUCUUCCGAGGAGACUCCCGCAGCGCCGCGUGCCUCGUCCGGACCGGCCGCAAGUUUGCCGGGCGCCUCGAGGCCAUCGGCAUCCCCGCCUUUCUCCUGCACCUCGGCUCCACCGUCCUCUACGGCGCCACCGCCUGGUUCCUGAACCUCCUACUCCUCAAACUUACUGCCGGUGAGGAGAGCAGCGUGCAGCUGGCUCGGGGGACACUGCUGCUGGCCGGCUCUGUGUACUUCACCGGGGCUGCACACGUCGGCGCGGUGUGGCGCGUCGCCUCCGUGACGAGGCUGCUGGCGGACGCCUGGGACGAGCUCCUCCUCCUCGCCCGCAUGUCCUGGGCCAAGUCCGCCGUGUUGACGCUCGACGGUUGCAUCGUGGCCGUGCAACUGGCCUUCGGCGCGCUGGUGGUCGAUGACGUGAUGGGCCUCGGCGUCUGGCUCCGAGUGGCCGCGGGGGUGGUGAUGGCGGUGGCCCUGUGGACGGCGGUGAUGGCAGGGCUGGUGGCGCAGGUAGUGCUGUUCUUUGUGUGCAAGAGGAGCUACCACCGCGAGAGAGAGCUUUGA
rnacentral:rRNA from 1 species